CUAUCAGUUCCUUGUGUCAAGCCCCUCACAGCAGCCUCCUGGCACAGCUCUCAAGGCCCUCCUUGACAGGGCCCGCCUCCUCUGCUCUCACCAGGGCUGCUCUCUGUCUGCCCCCUCCCCCCACGAGGCAUCCAUUUAGAUCUGCAUGCGAUGAUUCCCCUGCUGUGUUCUCUCAGGGUUGUGUCAUUUUAUCUUGAAUCUGUUCUGAGCUCAUAGCCUGGCUGACAUCAGGAAUUCGGGGAUGCUAUGGAGGGGUGGAGGAGGAGGGAAGAGAAGGAAAGAAAAGGAAGGGAAGAGAAGGGACCUGGAGAAAGAAAACAAGGAGAAGCAAGAAAGAAGGGGGGAAGCAAGGAGAGAGGGGAGAGGGAGGGAGGGAGAGAGGCUGGCUUAACAAAGUCUCUCAGUUUCUCUUUGAAACCCAGUCUCUCCUUCAUGAAAUAACACCUAUUCUGUUUAGUGAACAGGCUUUGGGGGUGAGAUGAAGAAAAGAUUGUGAAAGGUUCAGGCAUUAUGUUGGCCUGCCCCUGUUACUUGAUGGAAUCCACUCAGGCAAUACCCUGGUCAGCCCAAGGUUCCAUGGGAAAGAAGUCUGCACGCAGGUGCAGAGGACCCCUUAAAAAGAUAGGCCCCUGCCCCCUUUUUUUCUUUCUCUCUCUCUCCCCGUCUCUCUCUGUGUGUGUGCUCUCCCGUCUCUGUUUCCCCUCUCUGUCUCUCUAUGGCGACCGGCCAUGGCGGUCAGCCAUUACCCUGUUCCUCCUCUUAGUCUCCCCAUUCCAUUCUGCCUUAUAAUAAACUUAUAGUCUUAAGUCAAUAUGUCUGUCUCAAUAUUUCUCUUUUCUUCUUUUUAAACAAAAGAAUAACAUUUUGGCGCCCAACGUGGAAAGGCUCUGCCCUUAUACCUUCUGCGACCUGCUGGCGGGCGCUGGUUAGGCAAGGGCAACCUUAUAGCCCACUUCCAUCUUCGCAGCCUGAGAUGCCGGAACUCAACUUGCCAUUUUCCAACUAAGUAUUUCUGGAACUCACUGAUCUGCCUAUUCGCUACAAUCCGCUUUUUGUAACAGAGAGAUAGGCCAGCUGCUGGCCCCACCCCAUUUCCUCCGAGAAGACUGGGCACUGAAGAAACUUCAUCUCAGUGACAACGCUGGUCACUGAGCAACCCUGCCCUUCACCUCAACUGGUACAAA
rnacentral:lncRNA from 1 species